UACGAAGGGGGCUAGCGUUGCUCGGAAUCACUGGGCGUAAAGCGCACGUAGGCGGCUUUUUAAGUCAGGGGUGAAAUCCUGGAGCUCAACUCCAGAACUGCCUUUGAUACUGAGAAGCUUGAGUCCGGGAGAGGUGAGUGGAACUGCGAGUGUAGAGGUGAAAUUCGUAGAUAUUCGCAAGAACACCAGUGGCGAAGGCGGCUCACUGGCCCGGUACUGACGCUGAGGUGCGAAAGCUCGGGGAGCGAACGGG
rnacentral:rRNA from 1 species